AAUAAAUAAAAUAAUAAUAAUAAUAAUCAAGACAAAAAUGAUUGGGCUUUGAACUCACAUUUUUCAAUUAAAAUUGUAAGUAAAGGAUGCACAACUACCAACAAGUAUAGCAACAUAAAAUCAAAGAGGGUGAUUAAUUGAAAUGUAAGAUUAAUCACAUGCACAAAAACUCAGAAACAAUCUCUACUAAGUUUUAAAAUUUAGAUGAAAAUAUUUCCCCAUUAUACAAAAGAGUGAUAAAUCAUCAAUUUCAAGGACAAAAAAAAGACAGAAGCAAGUUUCAACAAAUGAAACGGCAGAUACAAGAAGAAAAAAAA
rnacentral:lncRNA from 1 species